UACGUAGGGUGCGAGCGUUAAUCGGAAUUACUGGGCGUAAAGCGUGCGCAGGCGGUUCGUCGUGUCCGAUGUGAAAGCCCCGGGCUCAACCUGGGAAUGGCAUUGGAAACUGGCGGGCUUGAGUGUGGCAGAGGGGGGUGGAAUUCCGCGUGUAGCAGUGAAAUGCGUAGAGAUGCGGAGGAACACCGAUGGCGAAGGCAGCCCCCUGGGCUGAACACGUGAC
rnacentral:rRNA from 1 species